rnacentral:rRNA from 1 species
GAUGAACGCUGGCGGCGUGCCUAAUACAUGCAAGUCGAGCGAACAGACGAGGAGCUUGCUCCUCUGACGUUAGCGGCGGACGGGUGAGUAACACGUGGAUAACCUACCUAUAAGACUGGGAUAACUUCGGGAAACCGGAGCUAAUACCGGAUAAUAUAUUGAACCGCAUGGUUCAAUAGUGAAAGACGGUUUUGCUGUCACUUGUAGAUGGAUCCGCGCCGCAUUAGCUAGUUGGUAGGGUAGCGGCUUACCAAGGCAACGAUGGGUAGCCGGCCUGAGAGGGUGACCGGCGAAAUGGGGACGGAGGUACGGCCCAGACUCCGACGGGAGGCAGCAGUGGGGAAUAUUGCACAAUGGGAGGAAGGCUGAGGCAGAAACGCCGCGUGCGGGAGGACGGCCUUCGGGUUGUAAACCGCUUGCGCCUGUGACGAAGCGUGAGUGACGGUAAUGGGUAAAGAAGCACAGGCUAACUACGUG